CUGCCAUCAAUUAAGCUGAUGAGGUUCCUUUGCUGGUGGGUGUCCAGUGUGCAAUGGCUGCAGACAGUUCCUCCUCAGUCUUCUGCUGCUUGUAUGAGCUGCCCUAAGGGACCUUGGAGACGCUG
ensembl:snoRNA SNORA70 Small nucleolar RNA SNORA70